rnacentral:rRNA from 1 species
UACGUAGGGUCCGAGCGUUGUCCGGAGUUACUGGGCGUAAAGCGCGCGCAGGUGGUCAAUUAAGCCCGGCGUGAAAGCCCCCGGCUCAACCGGGGAGGGUCGUCGGGGACUGGUGGACUUGAGGGCGGCAGGGGCUGGUGGAAUCCCCGGUGUAGUGGUGAAGUGCGUAGAGAUCGGGGGGACCCCCCGUGGCGAAGGCGGCCAGCUGGGCCGACCCUGACACUGAGGCGCGAAGGCGUGGGGAGCGAACGGG